rnacentral:RNase_P_RNA from 1 species
GAGUUGACUGGGUAGUCGCUGCCUUAUUGACGUCCCUUGGCCUAUCGCCAGGGAGACUGAUAAGGGGGAGGAAAGUCCGGGCUCCAUAGAGCAGGGUGCCAGGUAACGCCUGGGGGGCGCAAGCCUACGACAAGUGCAACAGAGAGCAAACCGCCGAUGGCCUCUCCUUCGGGAUAGGAUCAGGUAAGGGUGAAAGGGUGCGGUAAGAGCGCACCGUGCGACUGGCAACAGUUCGUAGCAGGGUAAACUCCACCCGGAGCAAGACCAAAUAGGCCUCCACAUAGCGUUGCUCGCGUUAGGAGGCGGGUAGGUUGCUUGAGCCAGUGAGUGAUUGCUGGCCUAGAGGAAUGGCUACUACCGCGCAAGCGGAACAGAACCCGGCUUAUAUGUCGACUCCA